rnacentral:misc_RNA from 1 species
CAGAUUUCAAAUGAAAAAGAAAGGGAAGAAUUAUUUUAUUUCUUCUUGAAUGAGAACAAAAUACUAGGCAAUUCACUCAAGAACAACAAGAACAAAUAAAGGAAAAAUAUCAAAGUUCAGAAUAAGAAAACGACACAAAUGGACCAAAGUAUCUACUUUCCCAGGCAUAAAUAUGCAAGAAUUCAAAAUGCACAGCAGACCCUCACUCCUCAUUCGCUUCUAUGUUUAUGGUCUUCUAUAUUUCCCUUUCCCAACAAACUUUAUCUCUAUCUUUUAUCUUCUCUAGCAAACUGAAGUUAGUCCUCUUUAACCAACAGAUUGUGCUUCCUCUAUAGUUAUCUUUAGCUGUUCCUCUGGCUGUUGGUUGGUUGGCCUCACUUCCCUUCUUCUAAUUCUUCUGGGCUGUCCUGGAGUCUCUUUUCUUCUGGGCCUUCAACCUGAUCCAUAACAGUGUCCUAGUUUCUGGAAUUGUCUUUACAUAUCAUUGGUUAAAAAAGUGACCAUAGCUGGCAUUAAAAGAAAGGGACAAGCGGUGCCAUUCAGCUUUUUAACUUCUUGGUUGCAAAUGCUUAUUAAUAUGAUGUUAUAAUCCUGUAUCAAUAACUAAAUCUCGAUUGUUUUUGAUGUAGGCUCCUGAUGAAGAAUUUGAAG